rnacentral:pre_miRNA from 1 species
AAGGUACUCCCUCCGUUCUGAAUUACUUGUCUUAGAUUUGUCUAGAUACGGAUGUAUCUAGCACUAAAAUGAAUCUAGAUACGGAUGUAUCUAGACAAAUCCAAAACAAGUAAUUCGGAAUGGAGGGAGUAGUAA